UACGGGGGGUGCGAGCGUUGUCCGGAAUCACUGGGCGUAAAGGGCGCGUAGGUGGCGUGAUAAGGGUGUGGUGAAAGCCCGGGGCUCAACCCCGGGUCUGCCAUGCCGACUGUCAGGCUGGAGUACUGUAGGGGCAGGCGGAAUUCCGGGUGUAGCGGUGGAAUGCGUAGAGAUCCGGAAGAACACCGGUGGCGAAGGCGGCCUGCUGGGCAGUUGCUGACACUGAGGCGCGACAGCGUGGGGAGCAAACAGG
rnacentral:rRNA from 1 species